rnacentral:rRNA from 1 species
GAUGAACGCUGGCGGCGUGCCUAAUACAUGCGAGUCGAACGCUGGAACUCUAGCUUGCUAGAUUGAAGGAGUGGCGAACGGGUGAGUAAUACAUAAGCAACCUACCCACGAAGACUGGGAUAAUCUCUGGAAACGGGGACUAAUACCGGAUAGGUAAUCGGAAGGCAUCUUCUGAUUAUUAAAUGUUAAAAACACUGGUGGAUGGGUUUGUGGCGCAUUAGUUAGUUGGUGAGGUAACGGCCCACCAAGACGAAGAAGCGUAGCCGGCCUGAGGGGGUGAACGGCCACAUUGGGACUGAGGCCCGGCCCAGACUCCUACGGGAGGCAGCAGUAGGGUAUUUUCGGCAAUGGGGGAAACCCUGACCGAGCCACGCCGCGUGAGUGAGGACGGCCUUCGGGUUGUAAAGCUCUGUUGUAAGGGAAGAACGGUAGAUAGAGAAUAUCUAAAUGACGGUACCUUACCAGAAAGCCACGGCUAACUACGUG